AGGACGAUCAGAGAGCAUCACCAGAACUUCACUAUUGCCUAAAUAACCUUAAUGUAACAGAGAAAAAAAAAGCUUGUGUGUGUCUUUGUAUUGCUAGAAGGAAAACAAACACUUUCAUCUGAUCAGAAAUAAUCUACAGAAACUUUAACUCUGCAAUAAAAGUAGUAUCGCCCUCUGGUGUUCGGAGAAGGAACUGCAUCCUACAGAGAAGUUCCUGGUUUCAGUGAAGCAGGAAGAGAAACUGAAACCAUCAUCAGCUCAGGAUGAAGGUCUGUCUCACUUUGAUCUGCCUCUUCUUCCUCAGUGAGUACAUUUACAUUUAUUUCUAUCAUCUUCUGUGCUCUCAGUCCUUCAUCCUUUCAGUUCCUCACAUUUUAUCAGAGAGAACUCCAACUUUGUUAAAAGAUUUUAAGCCGUGUGUUUCACUAGUUUCAUCUGUUUCAUUCUGUUGGUUCUGUAGUAAAACAUGUUGAUGAUCCGUUUUAAAUAUAAAAAGUUUCAUUGUGAGGCCAACUAAAUUAUGCAAAGCUUGUCAAAUCACAUUUUUUUUGCUAAUUGCACUAAUUAAUUUCUUUUCUGUAUUGAUGAUCAGAUAAUUUCAGCACAAAACCAGAAAACUAACCAUCAGAAAAUUGUUGAAAUGCUAAAAAUUAGUUUUAAAUAAAUGUACAGUUGUAUAAACUUCAGAGUUUGUUGAUUUGGAGAACUUGAAACAAAAACAGCAAAAAAUAAAUAAAUCAAUGAUAUUAAUGUUUUAGCUUUUAAACAAGUUUUGAUUUGCUUCUCAGUUAGUGAUUUAAGUACAUGGUGGAACAAAGAAACCAGGUUGUUUAG